CACCUGGUAGCACAUGGUGUGCACCUGCCUUUCUUUAGUAUUCUUUCAAGGUCUGUGGGCAGGAGAUCCCCGUUCGAUUCGGGGUCGGGUGA